rnacentral:rRNA from 1 species
AACGAACGCUGGCGGCAUGCCUAACACAUGCAAGUCGAACGAGACCUUCGGGUCUAGUGGCGCACGGGUGCGUAACGCGUGGGAACCUGCCCUUAGGUUCGGAAUAACUCCCCGAAAGGGGUGCUAAUACCGGAUAAUGUCUUCGGACCAAAGAUUUAUCGCCUUUGGAUGGGCCCGCGUUGGAUUAGCUAGUUGGUAGGGUAAAAGCCUACCAAGGCGACGAUCCAUAGCUGGUCUGAGAGGAUGAUCAGCCACACUGGGACUGAGACACGGCCCAGACUCCUACGGGAGGCAGCAGUGGGGAAUAUUGGACAAGGGGCGAAAGCCGGAUCCAGCAAUGCCGCGUGAGUGAUGAAGGCCUUAGGGUUGUAAAGCUCUUUUACCCGGGAUGAUAAUGACAGUACCGGGAGAAUAAGCUCCGGCUAACUCCGUGC